AACGUAGGAGGCGAGCGUUAUCCGGAUUUACUGGGCGUAAAGCGCGCGCAGGUGGCUUGACAAGUCGGACAUGAAAGCUCCUGGCUUAACUGGGAGAGGUUGUUCGAAACUGUCGGGCUUGAGGUUGGGAGAGGGACGUGGAAUUCCCGGUGUAGUGGUGGAAUGCGUAGAUAUCGGGAGGAACACCAGUGGCGCAAGCGGCGUCCUGGCCCACACCUGACGCUGAGGUGCGAAAGCGUGGGGAGCAAACAGG
rnacentral:rRNA from 1 species